rnacentral:rRNA from 1 species
UACAGAGGUCCCAAGCGUUGUUCGGAUUCAUUGGGCGUAAAGGGUGUGUAGGUGGCGCCGUAAGUCGGGUGUGAAAUUUCGGAGCUUAACUCCGAAAUUGCAUUCGAUACUGCCGUGCUUGAGGACUGGAGAGGAGACUGGAAUUCAUGGUGUAGCAGUGAAAUGCGUAGAGAUCAUGAGGAAGACCAGUGGCGAAGGCGGGUCUCUGGACAGUUCCUGACACUGAGGCACGAAGGCCAGGGGAGCAAACGGG